GGGCUUUCUGAUGUUUCUUUUUUUUUUUUUCUUCUUCUUCUUAUCACAACACGAAGGUACAAGACGCGACUUACGGGAACGAGGGCGAAGAUGAGCCAAUCGGCUUUGAUCGGGGAGGCUGCGGGUUUGUCUCCGGCCAAUAACGUAUUACAUCCCCAAACCUCUAUGCAAACCAAACGAAACGACGGUCUGAGUCAUCGCAUCGCACGCCGGGGUCCCUUCAAGGAAACGCAGAUGAGCUAUCAGUGUUUUCUCCUCAUCUGAAGGCUAAACAUGGUGUUGUUAUAAAAUGUCUGCGCAUCGCUGCAGGUGAGAUGCCGGCAACAUGCCGCCGUGCCCUGCAGCAAACCGGGAAGUUUGGAGCAAUAAGGUGUUGACCACUGACUCUAUAUCCUGUAGACGAACUCAUGGUGACGUCACCCGAAAACGAAGCCCGAAGUGGCUUUUUAUUGCAGCUUAUUCUGCCUCAUUUGAACCCAUUGUCUUCGUUAAUGGACACUUUAGUCUGUCAUCUAGUAGUGAACGUGAUUCGUUUUUCAGACAAUCGCAGGACAAAAGUGGACGAGGAAUAAAACCACAUCAUAUUCUAUGGUUAAAGCUUAUUUAUUUAUGCUUAUUAACUUUCUAGUUUGAUGCAACUCGCAAAUUUAUUAAUAAUUAUCAAGUACUUUUGUUUUUUCGCUCACUUAUCCAACUCCGAGGACUCCGAUGAGUGACUAAACUUCACAUAGCGUGUCCCUUUAAGAUAACUGCCUGCGAGUUCUCGUCUCAUGUUUACAGAAUCGGCCUUGCGAGGAAAAUCUUUUAUAGGACAGUGACAAUCCUUUAAGAGUUUCACAAGUAACUUUCUUGUAACAGCCUCUGCAGACCACACAAAAAUAGCUUCGCUUUUUUUUUUGUCUUCCUGUCACCGGUGAUCUGCUCCCACCCAUGUUGCAUCUCCCAGCUGAGUACCCAGCUUGUCUGCUUUCCAGGCACACUUAAUGCAAAAUUCCUGGAAGAUUUGGAACAGCCCAAACCCGUUGGCUGCAUUCUGGGACGCUAAUAACGCCGAGAGCCGACGUGCAGCGAGCUUGAUGUGGCGUGCGGUUCUCAGAACGAGGGGGGAAAUGAAUGAUGGUUUCAUUCGUGGAAACUUGUGGUCUCCGGCUCACUGCAGCCUCUUCAGGGAAAUGGUGUGUUGUUUCAGGACCUGAAGAUGAAGAAACACUGCAUCAGAUCAAAAAGAUUCUGCCACAUUUGAAAAUCAUAAUGGAGGUGACAUUUUAUUUUUAGUUGCCGUUUCCUUUCAAGGCCGUUGUCUCUUGCUAGCUGGUGUAAAAAUACAUCCAGCGGGUCCUUCUCGAAAGUCGCUGCUCUACUUCGCGAGACUUGAAACGCCGAUGCUCUUUGAUGGCGGAGAGACGGACUCAUACCAGACACAGGCCAAGGAUCGCGCUCAAGGAGUGGGACCCCCCCAGAGUCUGAUUCUGUAAAUGUUUAUGCGUCUGCGGCAAGCAUCGGCAUGACUUAGAAUAACCGACUUAAACCCUUUUAUCAGCAAGUGAGUGAUGUUGUGUGUAAGCACUUGCGCUCACGCCGCACUCCAGCCUAAACACAAGAUCAGGAAUCCUGCAACAUAACACGACGGAGAAGACUUUAAAACAUUCGCUCCAUGUCGGGGGCGUCAAGCACACGACCGGACCCGGGGUUUAAUCGGGCCCACAACGUGAAUUUGCAAAAACGACACAGAAGUAACGGCAGGUUGUUAGCGCUGAUGUGCUGUUAGUACAUCUGCAAAGAAACACAAAGUACAACUGAGACAAAACUCCUAUAACCUUCAGGUUUAAACACUUUUUAUCCUUGGGUCAAUUUGAUUGUUUAAACCUGCAUGAAUGCACCAUGUAGAAGUGCAUAAAUAAAGUGAUUUAUGGUGAUUUUUUUGCACACACAUCCAUGUUAAUGUAUAUUUGGAACAAUGCAUAUGUCCUACUGUUCUGUUUUGUUGUGCUCUUUGUAUUAUGGCACUACUCAUUUAUUUGCAGGACUUUUACCUGUCUGGUUAUUAUUAUUAUCAAUAAACAAAUAAAUAAAUAAAAUGA